rnacentral:sRNA from 1 species
GGCGGCGGGAGCAGCGAAGGGGGCGGCAGGGAUCCUCCAGGCUGCCGGCUGGGAAGGCGUGGGCGACCCGGUGUGUGGCGCGCCCGGAGCCCCGCGUUUCAGCCCUAGGGAAGGAAGCCAGUUGAGGGAAGUUCUCCAUGAAUGUACGUCACAAUGAUGAUGACCGACCAAAUCCCUCUGGAACUGCCACCAUUGCUGAACGGAGAGGUAGCCAUGAUGCCCCACUUGGUGAAUGGAGAUGCAGCUCAGCAGGUUAUUCUCGUUCAAGUUAAUCCAGGUGAGACUUUCACAAUAAGAGCAGAGGAUGGAACACUUCAGUGCAUUCAAGGACCUGCUGAAGUUCCCAUGAUGUCACCCAAUGGAUCCAUUCCUCCCAUUCAUGUGCCUCCAGGUUAUAUCUCACAGGUGAUUGAAGAUAGUACUGGAGUCCGCCGGGUGGUGGUCACACCCCAGUCUCCUGAGUGUUAUCCCCCAAGCUACCCCUCAGCCAUGUCUCCAACCCAUCAUCUCCCUCCCUAUCUCACUCACCAUCCACAUUUUAUUCAUAACUCACACACGGCUUACUACCCACCUGUUACCGGACCUGGAGAUAUGCCGCCUCAGUUUUUUCCCCAGCAUCAUCUUCCCCACACAAUAUAUGGUGAGCAAGAAAUUAUACCAUUUUAUGGAAUGUCAAGCUACAUCACCCGAGAAGACCAGUACAGCAAGCCUCCACACAAAAAACUGAAAGACCGCCAGAUCGAUCGCCAGAACCGCCUCAACAGCCCUCCUUCUUCUAUCUACAAAAGCAGCUGCACAACAGUAUACAACGGCUAUGGGAAGGGCCACAGUGGUGGAAGUGGCGGAGGCGGCAGCGGUGGUGGUCCCGGGAUUAAGAAAACAGAGCGACGAGCAAGAAGCAGCCCAAAGUCGAAUGAUUCAGACUUGCAAGAAUAUGAGUUGGAAGUAAAGAGGGUGCAAGACAUUCUUUCGGGAAUAGAGAAACCACAGGUUUCUAAUAUUCAGGCAAGAGCAGUUGUGUUGUCCUGGGCUCCCCCUGUUGGACUUUCCUGUGGACCCCACAGUGGUCUUUCCCUCCCCUACAGUUAUGAGGUUGCCUUAUCAGACAAAGGACGAGAUGGAAAAUACAAGAUAAUUUACAGUGGAGAAGAAUUAGAAUGUAACCUGAAAGAUCUUAGACCAGCAACAGAUUAUCAUGUGAGGGUGUAUGCCAUGUACAAUUCUGUAAAGGGAUCCUGCUCCGAGCCUGUUAGCUUCACCACCCACAGCUGUGCACCUGAGUGUCCUUUCCCCCCUAAGCUGGCACAUAGGAGCAAAAGUUCACUAACCCUGCAGUGGAAGGCACCAAUUGACAAUGGUUCAAAAAUCACCAACUACCUUUUAGAGUGGGAUGAGGGAAAAAGAAAUAGUGGUUUCAGACAGUGCUUCUUCGGGAGCCAGAAGCACUGCAAGUUGACAAAGCUUUGUCCGGCAAUGGGGUACACAUUCAGGCUGGCCGCUCGAAACGACAUUGGCACCAGUGGUUACAGCCAAGAGGUGGUGUGCUACACAUUAGGAAAUAUCCCUCAGAUGCCUUCUGCACCAAGGCUGGUUCGAGCCGGUAUCACAUGGGUCACGUUGCAGUGGAGUAAGCCAGAAGGCUGUUCACCUGAGGAAGUGAUCACCUACACCUUGGAAAUUCAGGAGGAUGAAAAUGAUAACCUUUUCCACCCAAAAUACACUGGAGAGGAUUUAACCUGUACUGUGAAAAAUCUCAAAAGAAGCACACAGUAUAAAUUCAGGCUGACUGCUUCUAAUACGGAAGGAAAAAGCUGUCCAAGCGAAGUUCUUGUUUGUACGACAAGUCCUGACAGGCCUGGACCUCCUACCAGACCGCUUGUCAAAGGCCCAGUUACAUCUCAUGGCUUUAGUGUCAAAUGGGAUCCCCCUAAGGACAAUGGUGGUUCAGAAAUCCUCAAGUACUUGCUAGAGAUUACUGAUGGAAAUUCUGAAGGUGAAGUUUUUGGCAAUUGUUCUAUUCAAAUCCAGUAGCAAGCUCUAUUUUCUGAUAUAGUAAACGUCUUUAUAGUAAUAGUGAGUAAUCAUUAAUUCUAAAGAUAGAACUAUUAUUACAAUAAACAAACUUUAGUCACAUAUUGGCAGUUUUUCUAUUUCAAACACAGCACCAGAGAUCAGAGUCUGCUUGAAACUUACAUUUGUGUUAUUUAAAAAUUUUUCUGUAUCUUUUUCAUUGGUAUUUUGUUUUGUUUAUCUUUUGUUUUUGUUUCUUUGGUUUGGUUUGUUUUUGUUUUGUUUUUUGAGAUAUGGUCUCACUCUGUCACACAAGCUGGAGGGCAGUGGCACAAACAUGGCCCACUACAGUCUCAAACUCCUGGGCUUAAGUGAUUCUUCUGCCACAGAAGAUGAGGAAUAAUACAUUUUUCAUAGUGAUGGGGUCUCACUAUGUUAUCUAGGCUGGUCUCAAACUCCUGGCCUCAAGCAACCCUCCUACCUCGGCCUCCCAAAGUGCUGGGAUUAUAGACCUGAAUCACCACACUCAGCUUCCAUGUCUUUUUAUGAACUAGAGUUUCUAAUUAAUCAGAUAAAUUUGGUAUUUUCAUCUCCUAACUUGCCAUACGUUUUCUGGAAAUUCUUAUAAGCAGCCGGGAGUGGUGGCUCACGCUGUAAUCCCAGCACUUUGGGAGGCCGAGGCUGAGAUGGGUGGUCAAGAGAUCAAGACCAUCCUGGCCAACAUGGUGAAACCCCGUCUCUACUAAAAAUACAAAAAUUAGCUGGGUGUGGUGGCGUGCGCCUGUAGUCCCAGCUACUUGGGAGGCUGAGGCAGGAGAAUUGCGUGAACCCAAGAAGCGGAGGUUGCAGUGAGCCGAGAUUGCACCACUGCACUCCAGCCUGGUGACAAAGUGAGACUCUGUCUCAAAAAAAAAAAAAAA